GAUGAACGCUGGCGGCGUGCCUAAUACAUGCAAGUCGAGCGGACGGACGAGAAGCUUGCUUCUCUGAUGUUAGCGGCGGACGGGUGAGUAACACGUGGAUAACCUACCUAUAAUACUGGGAUAACUUCGGGAAACCGGAGCUAAUACCGGAUAAUAUUUUGAACCGCAUGGUUCAAAAGUGAAAGACGGUCUUGCUGUCACUUAUAGAUGGAUCCGCGCUGCAUUAGCUAGUUGGUAAGGUAACGGCUUACCAAGGCGACGAUGCAUAGCCGACCUGAGAGGGUGAUCGGCCACACGGGAACUGAGGCACGGUCCAGACUCCUACGGGAGGCAGCAGUAGGGAAUCUUCCGCAAUGGGCGAAAGCCUGACGGAGCAACGCCGCGUGAGUGAUGAAGGUCUUCGGAUCGUAAAACUCUGUUAUUAGGGAAGAACAUAUGUGUAAGUAAAUGUGCACAUCUUGACGGUACCUAAUCAGAAAGCCACGGCUAACUACGUG
rnacentral:rRNA from 1 species